rnacentral:rRNA from 1 species
AGUUUUAACCUUGCGGUCGUACUCCCCAGGCGGUGUGCUUAAUGCUUUCGCUGCGACACUGAAAACUAAGUUUCCAACGUCUAGCACACAUCGUUUACGGCAUGGACUACGAGGGUAUCUAAUCCUCUUCGCUACCCAUGCUUUCGUUCCUCAGUGUCAGUAAUGAUCCAGAAAGUUGCCUUCGCUUUUGAUGUUCUUUCUAAUAUCUACGAAUUUCACCUCUACACUAGAAAUUCCACUUUCCUCUAUCAUACUCUAGCUAAAAAGUUUUGAUGGCAGUUCCAAGGUUGAGCCUUGGGAUUUCACCAUCAACUUUUUUAACCACCUACGAACUCUUUAAGCCCAGUAAUUCCGAACUACGCUAGGUCCCUUCGUAUUACCGCGGCUGCUGGCACGAAGUUAGCCGGACCUUCUUAUUCGGGUACAGUCAUUUUCUUCCCCGACGAAAGAGUUUUACAACCCAAAGGCCUUCUUCACUCACGCGGCAUCGCUGCAUCAGGGUUUCCCCCAUUGUGCAAGAUUCCCCACUGCUGCCUCCCGUAGGAGUUUGGGCCGUGUCUCAGUCCCAAUGUGGCUGGUCUUCCUCUAAGAACAGCUAUUGAUCGUUGCCUUGGUAAGCUAUUACCUUACCAACUAGCUAAUCAAGUGCGGGCUCAUCUUUUGGCAUUAAAACUUUCCCUGUGAAGGCUUAUCCGGUAUUAGCACAAGUUUCCUCGUGUUAUUCCAGACCAAAAGGCAGAUUCCCACAUUAUACUCACCCGUUUGCCACUCAGUAUUGCUACUGCGUUCGACUUGCAUGUGUUAGGCGUGCCGCCAGCGUACGUUCUGAGCCAGGAUCAAACUCU